UUUACUUAUCCUAACAAAAUAUUUUACAAUAAAUGUCCUCACAUGUGGAGUUUACUACCGAAAACAUUAUAGGGAAAUGCAAAGUAUAAGAAGUCCCAAAAAUGAUUGCAGAGUCGGGGAUGCUGAUGGUAGGUGUUCUGGGACUAUGGGCGCGACUUGUUCGGAAGCCACUGCUUGAAUUCACCGGAGAAAUUAUUCAAGUUGCCUCCGAAGUCAUGUCGUCGAGGAUUGGUGUCCCAGAUACAGCUUCCUAUGUUCCUCUUUCUUCUAGCACAAACAACUCUUCUCCUCUCGUCUCCCGAAGAAGCUGAAAGCUCAACCGCAGCAGACUAUUAGAGAAAGUGCGAGACAUCUUCAAAAUGAUUAAUGAGCAAUUUUUUGCCAAUCGUUGACCAUAUGUGACGAGAACAUGACAUCAGCCGAGAAUGUGUGAUCGGGAUUUUAAUCUAGCGAAUAACUUGAUAUGCAAGUUUUUUCAUAAAAGUACUUUAGAUCCAAAGAGGCUUUUCUUCUUCGCAUGUUUAAGCCCAAACAAUUGAUUUGUUAUGAGCUAUUCAGUUCGUGUUGUUUGAUGAGCCUUUGAGAUUAUUAAAUUAUUAA